rnacentral:rRNA from 1 species
UACGAAGGGGGAGCUAGCGUUGUUCGGAAUUACUGGGCGUAAAGCGCACGUAGGCGGAUUGUUAAGUCAGGGGUGAAAUCCCGGGGCUCAACCCCGGAACUGCCUUUGAUACUGGCAUUCUCGAGUCCGGAAGAGGUGAGUGGAAUUCCGAGUGUAGAGGUGAAAUUCGUAGAUAUUCGGAGGAACACCAGUGGCGAAGGCGGCUCACUGGUCCGGAACUGACGCUGAGGUGCGAAAGCGUGGGGAGCAAACAGG